rnacentral:rRNA from 1 species
UCUGCAGGUUGAUAUUUAAGUCUUUUAUUAAACCUCCGGGCUCAACCCGGAAUCUGCAAAGGAAACUAUCUAUCUUGAGUAUGGUAGGGGUAAAGGGAAUUUCCAGUGGAGCGGUGAAAUGCGUAGAUAUUGGAAAGAACACCAACAGCGAAGGCACUUUACUGGGCCAGUACUGACACUCAGAGACGAAAGCUAGGGGAGCAAACA